GCUGUGGGCUCAGAGGCAGAGCUCUGGGGUGUCUCCACCAUGGCCUGGACCCCUCUCCUGCUCCCCAUCCUCACUCUCUGCACAGGCUCUGUGGCCUCCUCUGCGCUGACUCAGCCCCCUGCCCUGUCUGUGGCCCUGGGAGAGACAGUCAGCAUCACCUGCCAGGGAGGAGACUUAGAAAGCAAUUAUGCUAACUGGUACCAGCAGAAGCCAAACCAGCGCCCUGCACUGUUCAUCUAUUAUGAUGAUGAACAGGCCUCAGGGGUCCCUGAUCGAUUCUCCGGCUCCAGCUCAGGUGGGACGGCCACCCUGACCAUCACUGGGGCCCAGGCUGAGGACGAGGCUGACUAUUUCUGUCAGUCAGCAUACAGUGGCACAGUGACACAGGCAGAUGGGGAA